AUGUUUCAUUUUACAAGGGAUGUGGUGACAAUGUUUCACCCUACGUGGGAUGUGGUAACAAUGUUUCAUUCUACAUGAGGUAAGAAGACAAUGUUUCACUCAAAAUGGGAUGAGGUGACACUGUUUCACAAAAAAUGGGAUGAGGUGACAAUGUUUUACUCUACAUGGGAUGAGGUGACAAUGUUUCACUCUACAUGAGGUAAGGUGACAAUGUUUCACUCUACAUGAGGUAAGGUGACAAUGUUUCACUCUAAAUGGGAUGAGGAGACAAUGUUUCAC